GGGUAUGUAGCUCAGUGGUGGAGCACAUGCCUAGCAUGCAUGAGAUCCUGGGUUCAAUACCUAUGUCCCCU
rnacentral:tRNA from 1 species